rnacentral:rRNA from 1 species
UUAAAGGGCCGCGGUAUUUUGACCGUGCGAAGGUAGCAUAAUCAUUAGUCUUUUAAUUGAGGGCUUGUAUGAAUGGUUGGACAAAAAAUAAGCUGUCUCGAUUAUAAAAAUUGAAUUUAACUUUUAAGUGAAAAGGCUUAAAUAAUUUAAGGGGACGAUAAGACCCUAUAAAGCUUUACAGUUAUCUAAUUAAAUUAUAAAUUGUUAGUUUAACAUAAUUAAAUUAGUGGUUGUUUCGUUGGGGCGACGAGAAUAUAAUUUGUAACUGUUCUUUUAUAAUUUGUUACAAUAAUUUUUGGUUAAUAAAUGAUCCUUUAUUAAAGAUUAAAAGAUUAAGUUACUUUAGGGAUAACAGCGUAAUCUUCUUUGAAAGUUCAUAUCGACAAGAAGGGUUGCGACCUCGAUGUUGAAUUAAGGUUUCUUUGUGGUGCAGCAGCUGCAGUGAGAAGGUCUGUUCGACCUUUAAUUCCUUACUGAUC